GCUCAAGUGGCGAAAUUGGUAGACGCGCUGGAUUCAAAAUCCAGUGACUUCGGUCGUGUGGGUUCGAUUCCCACCUUGAGUA
rnacentral:tRNA from 1 species